rnacentral:RNase_P_RNA from 1 species
UGAGUCGGCCGGGCGGUCGCGUCGGCCCGCAGCGAUGCGGGUCGCCGAGGAAGGUCCGGACUCCGCAGAGCGACGGUGGUGGGUAACGCCCACCCACGGUGACGUGCGGGACAGUGCCACAGAAAGCAGACCGCCAGCGGCCUCGCGUUCGCGCGGGGUGCGGGUAAGGGUGAAACGGUGGGGUAAGAGCCCACCAGCGCCCCGGGUGACCGGGGCGGCUCGGUAAACCCCACCGGGAGCAAGACCAAGAAGGACCUCCGGGUCCGCGCAGGCGACGACGCUGCUCGCCGAGCCUGCGGGUAGGUCGCUGGAGCGACGCGGCAACGCGUCGCCGAGAGAGAUGACCGCCGGGGCGUGCGCCUCACAGAAUCCGGCCUACAGGCCGGCUCAUCCG